rnacentral:rRNA from 1 species
CAAUAGCGUAUACUAAAGUUGUUGCGAUUAAAAAGCUCGUAGUUGGAUCUCAGGCAUGGGCGCACGGUCCGCCUCGCGGCGGUCACUGUGUGUUUUGUUUCCCAUCCUACGCUUCCCGGUUAUCAGCCCAUGGUGCUCUUCACUGAGCGUUUUGGGUGGCCGGAACGUUUACUUUGAAGAAAUUAGAGUGUUCAAAGCAGGCACGUCGCCUGAAUAAUGGUGCAUGGAAUAAUGGAAUAGGACCUCGGUUCUAUUUUGCUGGUUUUCGGAACACGAGGUAAUGAUUAAGAGGGGCAGACGGGGGCAUCCGUAUUGCGGUGUUAGAGGUGAAAUUCUUGGAUCAUCGCAAGACGAACAACUGCGAAAGCAUUUGCCAAGCAUGUUUUCAUUAG